rnacentral:rRNA from 1 species
GCAGCCGCCGCGGUAAUACGAAGGGGGCUAGCGUUGUUCAGAUUUACUGGGCGUAAAGGGCGCGUAGGCGGACUGAUAAGUCAGGGGUGAAAUCCCAAGGCUCAACCUUGGAACUGCCUUUGAUACUGUUUGUCUUGAGUUCGAGAGAGGUAAGUGGAACUGCGAGUGUAGAGGUGAAAUUCGUAGAUAUUCGCAAGAACACCAGUGGCGAAGGCGGCUUACUGGCUCGAAACUGACGCUGAGGCGCGAAAGCGUGGGGAGCAAACAGGAUUAGAUACCCCUGUAGUCCCUGUCUCUUAUAC